rnacentral:rRNA from 1 species
UACGUAGGGAGCAAGCGUUGUUCGGAUUUACUGGGCGUAAAGCGCGUGUAGGCGGCCACGCAGGUCCGUUGUGAAAACUAGAGGCUCAACCUCUAGACGUCGACGGAAACCGUGUGGCUAGAGUCCGGAAGAGGAGAGUGGAAUUCCUGGUGUAGCGGUGAAAUGCGCAGAUAUCAGGAAGAACACCAAUGGCGAAGGCAGCUCUCUGGGACGGUACUGACGCUGAGACGCGAAAGCGUGGGGAGCGAACAGG